CCGUGCAAAGGUAGCGUAAUCACUUGUCCUCUAAAUAAGGACCAGUAUGAACGGCUAAAUGAGGAUUAAACUGUCUCCUACGACAAAUCAGUGAAACUGAUCUCCCCGUCCAAAAGCGGGGAUAAACACAUAAGACGAGAAGACCCUGUGGAGCUUAAAAUUAAAGCCACCCACACCCUGCCCCCCCCCCACAUCUAUGGCCUACAAUUUUAAGUUGGGGCGACUUCGGAAACAAGAAAAACUUCCGAGCAUAAGAACAACCAUCAUACCAAGGCUAACACGCCUAAGCAAAAACUGACCCAGUCAUACUGACCAACGAACCAAGUUACCCCAGGGAUAACAGCGCCAUCUUCUUCAAGAGUCCA
rnacentral:rRNA from 1 species